rnacentral:ribozyme from 1 species
GAAAAAGUGGUGAAAUAGAAAAAGGUAAAGAUUUUAAAAUAUGAAUCAAAUUGGUUUGUGUCGUUGGAACCACCAACUGUUUUCCACAUUUAAUCU